AAGCACGUAGGUGGGUUUGUAAGUCAGAUGUGAAAGCCUUCUGUUCAAAGGAAGAACGGCAUCUGAAACUGCAGAUCUUGAGUGUAGGAGGGGAGAGUGGAACUUCUGGUGGAGCGGUGAAAUGCGUAGAUAUCAGAAGGAACGUCGGCGGCGAAAGCGACUCUCUGGCCUAUUACUGACACUGAGUGUGCGAAAGUUAGGGGAGCAAACGGGAUUAGAUACCCCGGUAGUCCUAACUGUAAACGAUGGGCACUAAGUAGAGGGGUUUU
rnacentral:rRNA from 1 species